rnacentral:rRNA from 1 species
GUGCCAGCCGCCGCGGUAAUACGGAGGGUGCGAGCGUUAAUCGGAAUUACUGGGCGUAAAGCGCGCGUAGGCGGCGACAUAAGUUGGAGGUGAAAUCCCCGGGCUCAACCUGGGAACUGCUUUCAAAACUGUGUGGCUAGAGUAUGGUAGAGGUGAGUGGAAUUUCCUGUGUAGCGGUGAAAUGCGUAGAUAUAGGAAGGAACAUCAGUGGCGAAGGCGACUCACUGGACUAAUACUGACGCUGAGGUGCGAAAGCGUGGGGAGCAAACAGGAUUAGAUACCCCCGUAGUCC